ensembl:lincRNA
GUAAAAUAAAAAGUGAGUCAAUCUACAGAUAAACAUUAAAUAUAAUAGUUCAAGUGGUCUGACAAUCAGAGGGAAGUGUGGUGGUGACUCAGGAGUAACCACGGUCUGGGAAACACAGUACUUAUGGCCUUGGGAGAAAGUUUAGACCCAAAGUCCUCUCCUGGUCUUUCUCUUGAUUUUUUUUUUUAAUGCUAGGCAUAGCUCAGUAAGUGUGCUGCAGUCAGGCCCACAGUGGAAGAACACUGCCCUUCCUGCUCAGGGUGAGCACCCACUGUCCCUUGAGGCCGGGGCGCAAUGACAAGAGACUCAGCCUCGGCUCUUCCCUUUGGGCAGUUUAGCGUCCCUGUGCAGGGCCCAGUCACAGCAGCCUCGUGUCCCGUCAUCCUGCCCGUGAUCUGUUAGCACAAACAAGUUUGACUUGUUCUGUGUCUGUGCCUUUGCACGAGUGUGAGUGUGUAAGCGCGUACACAGAGGGGUGUGGUGAAGUGGGGGACGGGGGAAGUAAACGGAACAGAUCUUCUCCCUGGGAAGAGACCCAGGGUGCUCCUAUCCCAGGACUAAUCUAGGGAAGAAGGGUCCUUGGGGGCGUCAUUCAGAAUAAGCGCCCAACCCCCCAGCUGGCCCAGGGCACCUCCCUCCUGCCUGCCAUGCUCCAGGAGUGGGGCUGUCACCUCAGCUGGUCCAGUGGGAGGGCAGAGAGGUGGCAAAAGCAGAGUAAGGGGUGCUACAGGGCUCGGCUAGAGAAACACAAUUGGCGCUGUCUCUACCCACGGCUCUCUCUAAAGGGAUACCCAGCCUGGACUUCUCCUUUGGCUGCCCUCUCCCCUAAUUUAAAGAGAACCUUGUCCUGGUUCCCAGAGAACUCUGUUUUUUUUUUUUUGUUUGUUUGUUUUGUUUUUUUGUUUUUCUUCUGGUACCAGGACUCGAACUCAUGACCUUGCACUUGCCAGGCAGGCACUUUGCCACUGAGCUAAAUUCCCAGCGCCCCCAGAGAACUCUGUUGACAGAAGCUGCUAGGCAACUGGAGUGUGGGACAACUGUGGCCACUGGUCAAGUUGCAGGUGCACUGUUGGGGCACAGAAAUAAGGAUGCCUACAACUUGACAACAUUAAGAUUGUUCAGCGACAGCGGCACGCAGGGCUAUGAAGCAAACGUGGACUCAGUCUCCCCCCUGAGUCCUACCUGGGAGCCAGGUUCUCUUCUCUGUGAACCUCCUACUGCCUCAGCAGGACCCAACACUGAUCAUCAACCUCCCAUUGCAGAAUACCCAUGUGUUUUCCUUCUGUGGCCUCCCGAACCCCUCCCUGCCCCACCCGCACAGCCGCACCUCCAGCUCUGCACGGCCUUCACCUGUCUCCUCCCACCCACUGGGACUCCCUCAGCCCUUCCUCGCACUGUAGCGAGAAUACCCUUCCAAAGAUGCAAAUCUGACUCGGCCACGCCCCUGCUCCCAUCCGGAGUGGCUGCAAUUGACCUCUGGCCCCUCCCACAGCCUCUCCUCGCCCACCAGCCUCUGCUCACUGUGGUUUUAUUUCUGUCCCUUAACGGUGCCAAGCUCUUCCCCUUCAGGGGCUCUCCCGACGCUGGAAUGUUCUUCCCACCACUCUGCCUGGCCGAGCUUUAUCCAUCAACUAGUGCGCGGCAGAAAUGCUAUUUUCUCAAAAGCGUUCUCCUCAACCAUCCAGACUCUGAUGGCACCAAGUAAUUAAAUAAUUGUCCUGAGAUGAGUAUGUUUCCUCUUUGCUGCUUCUGAGCCUUCUGGCCCAGUCAGGAGCCAAGGAAGGUACUGAGGAAAGAUGCAGAAUUCGGCAGGACGGCCUGCCAGGACCCACCAUGCCAUUCUUUUCAUCCAAAGGUUGCAAAGCACCUACAGCAAGAACUGAAUAAAGAAACACCUGUUGGC